CACGUUGGAACCUGCCCCAAAGUAAGGGAUAAGCCACCGAAAGGUGGGUCUAAUACCUUAUAGUAUCCAUCUCGUAUGGAUUAAAGCUUUAUGCGCUUUGGGAGGGGCCUGCGUUUGAUUAGCUAGUUGGUGAGGUAAAAGCUCACCAAGGCGACGAUCAAUAGCUGGUUUGAGAGGAUGACCAGCCACACUGGGACUGAGAUACGGCCCAGACUCCUACGGGAGGCAGCAGUAAGGAAUCUUCCACAAUGGGGCAACCCUGAUGGAGCAAUACCGCGUGCAGGAUGAAGCGUUUCGGCGUGUAAACUGCUUUUAUCACCGAAGAUUAUGACUGUAGGUGAAGAAUAAGGACCGGCUAACUACGUG
rnacentral:rRNA from 1 species